UACGUAGGGGGCAAGCGUUGUCCGGAAUCAUUGGGCGUAAAGAGCUCGUAGGCGGCUUGUCACGUCGGGUGUGAAAGCCCGGGGCUUAACCCCGGGUCUGCAUCCGAUACGGGCAGGCUAGAGUGUGGUAGGGGAGAUCGGAAUUCCUGGUGUAGCGGUGAAAUGCGCAGAUAUCAGGAGGAACACCGGUGGCGAAGGCGGAUCUCUGGGCCAUUACUGACGCUGAGGAGCGAAAGCGUGGGGAGCGAACAGG
rnacentral:rRNA from 1 species